UACGAAGGGGGCUAGCGUUGCUCGGAAUCACUGGGCGUAAAGGGUGCGUAGGCGGGUCUUAAGUCAGGGGUGAAAUCCUGGAGCUCAACUCCAGAACUGCCUUUGAUACUGAAGAUCUUGAGUGCGGGAGAGGUGAGUGGAACUGCGAGUGUAGAGGUGAAAUUCGUAGAUAUUCGCAAGAACACCAGUGGCGAAGGCGGCUCACUGGCCCGAUACUGACGCUGGAGGCACGAAAGCGUGGGGAGCAAACAGG
rnacentral:rRNA from 1 species